rnacentral:tRNA from 2 species
GGCUACGUAGCUCAGCUGGUUAGAGCAUCGCACUCAUAAUGCGGGGGUCGGUGGUUCGAAUCCACCCGUAGCCA